rnacentral:lncRNA from 1 species
GGGGAAACCGAGGGUGUAAUGGAACGUGCGUUUUUAUCAGGACUGUGCUCAUGUGGACCCUGAAAGUGCAUGGCUCUCUAGGAGAACAGUGGGUGCAUAGCCAGAAACCUGUACAAUUGCGGGAGACACGCCUGUGUCCGUAUGGUACAUUCAUCCGUCAGGCCAGGAAAGUAUGAUGGUUAGGACCUCGUGCUUUCUAACUGUAGAAUUUUAACAUUGCUAUUAAAUAUAUCUGAUAUUAAUGACAUGCGUCUGCGUGAAGCGCAUAUCUCAGUAAAAAGGCUUAGGUAGAAAGCAGAUCAUCACGAGUAAGCAUUAGCUUCGAGCCUGCAGGUGCUCCUUGCCUUUUUUGUCACCAGAUAAAGGUCAUACUGUGUGUUGCUUUUGUGCUCCCAAUCUAGAAAAAAAAUUAGUGGUUUGAUUUGCUACAUUACAACUUUGCCUGUUCAAAGCUUUGUUGAAUUUAGGAGAGUAAUUUGGGCAAAAGCUAGUUUUUAUUAAAAAAAAAAAAAAACAACAAAAAAACCACCCAGCUAUGAUCUCUCACUAUACCUUCUACUUACCAGUGAUGUUAAAUUGUUUGUGCCAACUGGAGAAGCGCACCAAGUGGUGGUCUUCCUUUUGGGGACUGGCAUAGAACACAAGACCUACUUCACCGGCUUCAGGUUACUGCUCGUUUGUCACAGUGUCACAGUGAAGUGCCUCUCACACUUCGGAAUGUCCCUCAUGGUCUGCAGUGAAUAAAGUGUCAACUUGUU